rnacentral:rRNA from 1 species
AACGAACGCUGGCGGCAUGCCUAACACAUGCAAGUCGAACGAGACCUUCGGGUCUAGUGGCGCACGGGUGCGUACCGCGUGGGAACCUGCCCUUAGGUUCGGAAUAACUCCCCGAAAGGGGUGCUAAUACCGGAUAAUGUCUUCGGACCAAAGAUUUAUCGCCUUUGGAUGGGCCCGCGUUGGAUUAGCUAGUUGGUAGGGUAAAAGCCUACCAAGGCGACGAUCCAUAGCUGGUCUGUGAGGAUGAUCAGCCACACUGGGACUGAGACACGGCCCAGACUCCUACGGGAGGCAGCAGUGGGGAAUAUUGGACAAUGGGCGAAAGCCUGAUCCAGCAAUGCCGCGGGAGUGAUGAAGGCCUUAGGGUUGUAAAGCUCUUUUACCCGGGAUGAGAAUGACAGUACCGGGAGAAUAAGCUCCGGCUAACUCCGUG